GAAUAAAACUCCAGCACAUUAUGAAGCACAUUUUCUUCACUUACUAAGACGCUGGUGGACUCCGACUGAUCCCAUAGCUUGACUAUUACAAAACUACAGCAGAAGCCAUUAAUGUGCAUGCAUCUUUCUGCAAUUGCCGAUGCUAUGACAUAUCAUUGUGUGUACAUCUGGGAUCCGGGAUAGCUGGAUCAUACGGUAAUUCUGUUUUUUAUUAGUGUUCGUUUUAACCAAAUCGCUUACAUCACACACACACACACACACACACACACACACGCACACGCGGAGGUUAUAUGUAUCUGAGAAAGAUCAUUCUUAGAACGCGUUUUCGUGCUUCUCCCGAGUGUGGCAUAUAGGAGGGAGUUUACUUCAGCUGUUGUUAUUCAUAUGCCUCUGUGAACAAACUUGGUUUUGCCCCUUGCGGCUCGUCUUUGUGAUAUACACUUUACCCAUGUGACUCUUCUUAACCCUCAGAGUAUAAAUUGUCCGAUGCUCUGAAUAAAGCUGACUAUUGUGUGAGACUUUGGUCCUAAUUUUUAGGCCCCACUCUCCCAGGUUCAUGUUGCCAACCAGAGUGGUAAACAUCGAAGCGCUUGCAUAGCUGUGAAGACCACGGGUUCUGUAUAUGGUACUGUAAACUAAGUAAAUGAAUAAUCAGUAGAUAAGGUAUACGCAAACGAGUGAGUAAACAAGGUAUACGCAAAGUAUAAGGUGUCAGGGUAAACAAAUCAGGGGAAGUGGAUUCUGGCCGAGAGCUCAGGGGACUCAGAAAUCUGAUGGUCAGUGGCAAACAUUGCGCAUGCCUGAUGAAGAUUGCGCAUGCCUGAUGAAGGCCCGCUUGAAGGCAGCAGGGAGCCAUGAGGAAUGGAAGACGCUAAGAAAGCAAUGACAGAGACAACUAGAGGUCAGAUUGCAUAGAACACUAGUUCUGAGCCCUAUCAGAUCCCUCUUUAUGUCAUGUAAAUAGCUUAAUAGGAGUAUAACGCGUGCAUCCUGACAUGUUAGAAAACGCCCUGUGUUGGGGGAGAAGAUUUACUGUUUAUUUGUGGUGUUACAAUUGCUCUUCCCUCAAGAGUCACCCCAUCAAACAAGACCCUAUGCUUGUGAAUUGCCCAAUUUUAGAUGCUCUAUUGAUACAGCCUGAUUCAGCUCUUUAGCUCCCAGACCAGUGAUGCUUUAAUAGUCUAUCUGUCUGUUCCAUCCAAGUCCCACAAGCAUCCUGAUCGAUAAUUUGCCGUAUGGAGACAUUCUGGUUAUUUGAAGUAACUCUCAUUACAGCAGUCUCUCCAGGCUUGGCUCUGGUGGUUAGGCGCCGGUGCCUGGCCGCACCACUUCAGGAUUACGCUACGCACUGUAAUCGAGGUAAUCUCCACAGCACGAGCAGCUCUGUCUUCCACCGCCAGAGAGACUUUCAAGGAUGCUGGCACUGUCUGACUCAGAGUAUCUCAUAUGCCUCGUCCACAGAUGCCUUCUUCGGUUUCCUGAAAGAUGUUGUGGGGGAUGGGGAUACGCGUUGCAAACGAUAAAUGAGCUCCACCUUCCUCCACGUCUGUGCCAAGAAUGCUCAAUCGUCAAUUUUAUGAAAUCCUGAGCCCAAAAUCCAAUCCACCAAGGAAGGUGUCAGAUCCACUGCGGCUAUACUAGCACCCACAUGUUAAAUCUAGACUUGCUUUUACAUGCAUCUAUAUGAGUGCAUUUGGGCUAGUCUAAUUUUGACUUAUUUCCUCCCUGGUGUAGCAGCCUUCACACUCAUUGUCAAAACGUUCCUCGGGCUCUCAUCUCUAUAUAUAUUAUAAAAACAUGGAAAGUCUUUCAAAAUAUAAGCCAUAUGCUCCUGGGUUAAACCUGGCUAUUCAUCUUCUUGGAGCAUGUUGAGACCUGUCUCUAGUUAUCAAUCUGGAGUCAUCCAUGGAGGACAGAAGGGACCUUGAAAAGGACAGGCAUCUUCCCCAAGGAGAGCUGAUCCCCCCUUCCCCAAUCCCUCACCUUCCCAUUCCCAUCAAUCAGGAGGCCUCAGAUCCUCCAGUGAGCCAAGUUUAGGAAAGUAGAUUUGGAACUGAUUGGAUGCAAUUAUAUGCAUUUAACACACAAACAGAGUCUUGAUUACAAUAAGGGACAUGAUGAACUAGGCUUCUAUGGUCACAUGUAGAGUCUGCGUGGAAGUGACAGCUACUGAUGUAUACAGACAAGAUCAGGUGUGUUCAGGGUGGGUUGUAGCGGUCCCCGAUAAAUCUACACGAUUCGACCCCACCCCAAUGUUCUGGGUUCCCAUGACCGAUCUACCUCCCUCCGAUAUUCCCAAGUUCCCAAAUUAUUGCUUACUAAAACCUAUAUUCCCUCUUGGCUGGACCCAGACGUGCAGCUCUCUUUGGCUGCGUUUCAUCCCCCUCCCCCCACCGGCUCCUACAUGGAGGCCAUGCUCUCUGUCCUGCACCUCUCAGGCGUGGCAUCUUACUCUCCUUCUCUCAUCAUGAUGGAUCUCCUCUUCCUCCCUUCUCCUUCCCUAGCCCCGAAUCCUGAAAGUCCCGCCUGUCUGCCCCGCCCAUCCGGAGGCCCAUUGGCUGUCUUUAUUUACCAAUCAGAAUCAACAGUGGACAGAGUCCUUCAGUCUGCCCUGACACUGCAAACAGGUUUGGGGGGAACAUAAUUAGCACAAGAAUCUAAGCAGCUACAAUGAAUGGCUACUGUUCUGACAAGAUUAGGUGUGUUUAGGGUGGAUGACCACAGAAUAUAAAUAUAUCCAGAGGUGGUGUUGUCCUGGGGAUACAAAUGACAAGAGUGGUCAUGCCGAGAAUAAAGUAAUUUGCUAAAGUGGUGAGCGACUUUUGAUAAUAUUCAAGACAAAAUAAUGUAUUAUUUCUCUUACAGAGCAGUGGCGUGCAGUCCUGACACUCUAUUGCAUACUAAAUACUCAAGCAGGGUUUUUAGGGUUCAUUCCAAGGUUGCUUGGGCAGAAUAUGGUGGUUGUUCCUUGCCUUGGAGUGAGCAGAAAACAGAAACAACAUUCAGGAAAGAAAGAGGGCAAGUCGAGCCUCCGAGGACAAGACCCACGGAGAGAUAGAUGCUUUCCUCCAACCAGGCCCCAUCUCCUGCAAUCUGAUAAUGAAUCGAGGAUUGAUCUGCCUAUUAGGCUUGUGUUAAGAUAAAGUCAACGCGGAGGAGAACAGAUCCAACUAGGCAUUCAGGCCAACAGAAGUACAGACCCAGACAGAGAUGACGGCUACAUAAUCCUGAGCAAGGACUGACGCCACAGAACCAUUCGCUUUGAAACGGCUACUUUGUCACAUGAACUCCACCUCAACAAGAAGUAAAGGAACUAGUGUAAAAUCAAGGCAGCCAGGACUGGAGAGAUGGCCCAGUGGUUAGGCACACCGGCUGCUCUUGCAAAGGAUUCUGGUUCGAUUCCCAGCACCUACAUAACUGCUCACAGCCUUCUGUAACUCCAGUUCUGGAGGAUCUGAUGGGUUCUUUUGGACUCCGUGGUCCCAGGCACACGCGAGCACAUACAUACAUGCAUGAGGCAAAAUACCUUACACAUCAGGGAAAAAACAACCCUUCAAGGAAACAGCGAGGUUGUGAUGUAGGAAGAGAUUAGCAAGGUGCUCCAGCCAAGGGCCGUCUUUUGGAUGUGCCUGCUGCAGCAGGACAAUUGCGUGGGCUUCUGCAGAUGACAGAGAGACAUGGACGCAAAAGGGAAAUCUAUAUAUUCCAAAAGCAGAUGAACGUGAAGGAUAAUGCUGUGAGGGCAAGAUUUUCUUAAGCAAGACCUUAAACGUCAGAUCACAAAGAAAAAUAUCAGGGGGUUGGCAGUACCAAAAAUGAAUACCGUCUGCUCAGUAGUAGACAGGACUGCGAGUUAAGAGAUAAAUAACAAGGCAGGGACUACAGUGCAGUGACAGAGGGACCACCUCAUAGCUGUGAAGCCCCAGGUUCACCCUCCCGCACUCUCCAAACUACUAACUUCCUUUUGCUUUUAUAACCAUUUACCACAAGCUUGUAGAUCAAAGCAAUACAGACAUUUUCUAUUCUUGUGAUUCUAGAAAGAGGUUCCGCUGAGCUAAAAGUCCAUUUCCCCAACCAACUAUGAACACUAUCAAUGGAAUUAUUAACAUAAUGUUCAAAAGAUGUACAGUUUUACAUGUUUUGGGUACUAUCAUAUAAGGCAGUUCAUUACUUUAUAGAGAAUAGAAAAGAGAAAACAACUCCAUUUAACGUUACUGACUUAAAAAGGACAUCCCCGAGUUACCUGUUUUACAAAUCCAGUUAAUAUUAGAAACAGAAAGUAAAGGCUGUGCGUGCUGGCCCUCACCUAUCGUCCCAGGAUGAUGGAAGCAGGAGUCCCAAGUCAGCUUGCACUGUGAGUUUGAGACCAUCCUGGGCUACAUGAGAUCAUCUCUGACAAACGGAGAAACAGGAGAAAGAGAACGGUGUCUGAGAAUGUGUAAGGAAAUAGAAUUUUUGAGCAGAGAUGGAGGGACUGAAAUCACAUCAUAGGAGGAAAGCCCUCCAAAUUCAUCCUAACAAGAGGAAGGAAUGGGUCCAGGCAUAGAAAUAAGUGUUUGCUUAACCGGUUCUGUAUCUCUGGAAAGGAAAGAGAAGAUGAGGUGGAAGGGUACACAGUUCUGAGAAAGUGACAUAGUCUUUAGCCUAUGGAGGGGAGAGAGGUGGUGAAGAUGUGGGGGACACAUUUACUGUGAACUAGUAGGCUUUGGAAUCUGGUGACCAUGUGACUAAUCUACACCACUUGAGACUUUCUUCAGUGGCCCUCAGUACAGACCUGCCUGUCUGUAACAGGAAGAACAAGGCAGUCACCUGAAAUCAGUCCAUUAGAAUGAGGGUUCACUGUUCAGAGAGUGACCAGCCAAAGUGAUGGCCUCUUAAAAUCUAAUCUGAGGGCAGAGGACUGGGGAGAUGGUUCAGUCAGUUAAGGCUGGCAGUGCAAGGGUGAGGCCUGAACUGGACCUGCAUCAAAAGCUAAGCAUGAUGACGUGCACCUGCAAUCCCAGGGCUGCAGAGGGAGACAGGAGGAGAUAACUGCAUCACUAGAGUUCCCUGCAGCUACACUAACAGCAGAGGAUUCCCAGGCACCGUGAGAGGCCUGUCUCAAAAACAGAGGCCUAGGAUGACUUAAGAUACUUAUGGUUGACUAUGUCUGAUCUACACACACACACACACACACACACACGCACACACAAACACACACACGUGCACACACGAACACAUGCACACAUACAUUCAUGUACACACUCAUGCACAUGCUCAUGCACUCAUACACACAUACACACACACUCACACACAAUACACACAUACACAUGCACACACAUACACAGAAACUUAUGCACACAGACAAACACAUGCACACAUAUACUCAUGCACACACUCAUGCACACACUCAUGCAUUCAUACAUGCACACACUUAAAUACUCUCACACACAUACACACAUACACAUGCACACAAUCAUACACACACGACACACAGGGUCUCGUGCACACACAAGAGCACAUGCACACACUCAUGCAUUCACAAACACACACAAUACACACACACUUGUGCACAUAUGCUUGCACUCACACACACACACCCAUGCACACACACACACACACCCAUGCACACACACACACACACACACAUGCAUACAUGCAUGCAAACACACAAAAUCUAAUUUGAAGUGCAAAUAAAGUGAAGACAGGAGGAACUUGAUACAAGUCGAUGGGACAGUAUUCUGGAGAUUCCAACAAGGCGACCUUAUCUCUUGGGAUGACUUGCUUGGAGAAUCAGAACAGAACAUUCUUAUGAUAGCAUGAAAGACUGAGUUUCCUCUUAUAACGUUAAACAAUUUUGGCGGUGAGCAAUUCAAGUGCCAAGUGGAGCAAAUAGGCAGAGACAGGGAAGUCAGGAACAGAAAGCUUUGGGGCAGGAAGGGGCGCCCGCAAGGACUCUGAAGCAAGACAGCCAUGGACUGAGGGCAGCCGUAGACCAGGUGGCUGUCAGGAAGCUGGUGGGAGGAUGUGGCCAGGAAGGGUAUGAAUGGCAGUGUUUAGGGGUGGUGGUGGUUGGUAUAGUCGAAGGGCUCAAAGACAAAAGUGGUAGGGAGUUUUACGUGAGAGCAGGGAGGCAAGCCGAAUGGUAGCACUUGGUGGGGAGAGGAGGUCACGAGGCUCAGACUUCACUCUACAGAAGAGAAAACUGAGGAAGAAAGGACAUUAGCUAACCGGAGAUGUCCUCGAUGCUCCCUGCCCACAGACGCUCACUCUUCCCACAGGGUAUCAGCGUCUGCUUGAGGAGGGUAGAAGACAGAUAAACCAAUGCUAUAUUGCAUGUCAGACUGGGCUGGGAUGGCUGUUUCGGGCUCUAUCCAGCUGUUCUCUUGUUUGUUUUGGGGGAAGACGGCUGCCACAGCUUAAGCCAGCCUACGGUGAGGGUGAGCCUUUAGGGUAAGGAACCAACGUUCUUGGGUUUGUGAAUGACCUUAGCAGCAGUCUCCAGUCCAUGGCAGUCUUCAGAGGACAGAAUGCUACCUCACAGUUCCUUUGCCACUCUUGAGACUCCCUGAGGAGACCAACUGAGCCAGCCUACAGAAACCGGAAGAUAACACGCACUGCUUGUCCUAAACCGUUACAUUUGGAGCGACUUGUCAGGCAGCAAUGGCUAAAUAAGAGUUUUCAUCAUUUAUGUCAAACCACAAAGCUGGUUAGCAGCCAAUUUGAAAUGAGAGCACAGGGCUCCUAACUCUCAGUGUUCCGUCAAACACACCUUGCCCCGGUGUAUGUAUUCCCUCCCGUUUAACAUUUCUGCCAGGGCAUUGCUUAUACCAAGGUUAAACGUGAAGGAAUGUUUAUGCAAACAAAACGUUUCAAGGUAGAUUCUGGGUGGUUGGGGUGGUGCUGUUUAGAUUUAAAAAUGACAGAAGAGUAUUAAACCCCACAUGCACUAUGUAGGCCGGAAGUAAAUAUGGCUUAGUGGUGUGCUUGACAAUUGGGAAACAGAUACUGUCUCUCUGGCAGUUUGGGCUUCAUUAAUGGUACCUGAAGUUUUCUGCCUUCCUCAGCAGAAAGGACAGAUCAGAGCCUGGGAGGAAGGACCUGUCCCCCCAACCCCCAUGGAACACCCACCCCUCCCUCUACAUAGGAUGCCACCCCUCCCCCCAUGACUUCCUCUUCAUGUAGCUACAAUCUUCCUGUCUUCCCUUCUCCCUCACUUGGAUUUCAUAUCUGGGACUCAGAAAGUGUCAACAAGGGCUGGAGAGAUGGCUCAGUCAGAGCACUGACUGCUCUUCCAGAGGUCAUGAGUUCAAUUCCCAGCAACCACAUGUUGGCUCACAACCAUCUGUAAUGAGAUCUGGUGCCCUCUUCUGGCCUGCAGUCACAUAUGCAGGCAGAAUACUGUACAUAAAAUAAAUAAAUAAAUUUUAAAAAGAAAAAAAGAAA